rnacentral:rRNA from 1 species
CCGCAGCGGUUCUGACGUGCAAAUCGAUCGUCGGACUUGGGUAUAGGGGCGAAAGACUAAUCGAACCAUCUAGUAGCUGGUUCCCCCCGAAGUUUCCCGUAGGAUAGCUGGCGCUCGUGACUCAGUUUUAUCCGGUAAAGCGAAGGAUUAGAGCGAGCUGGGGCUAGUUGCCCUGGCACUAUUCUCAAACUUUAAAUGGGUAAGGAGCCGGCGGCCUUGAAUGUGGGCGUCGGACAAGAAUGAGAGUGCCUAGUGGG